AGAGUUUGAUCCUGGCUCAGAGCGAACGUUAGCGGCGGGCCUAACACAUGCAAGUCGAGCGAGAAAAGGGCUUCGGCCCUGAGUACAGCGGCGGACGGGUGAGGAACACGUAGGUAAUCUGCCCUUCGAUGGAGGACAACGGUCCGAAAGGACCGCUAAUACUGCAUACGUUCUCCGGGACUCCGGUUCAGGAGAGGAAAGCCUCGCAAGGGGCGUCGAGGGAGGAGCCUGCGUCGCAUCAGCUAGUUGGUGGGGUAACGGCCUACCAAGGCGAAGACGCGUAGCUGGUCUGAGAGGAUGAUCAGCCACACUGGGACUGAGACACGGCCCAGACUCCUACGGGAGGCAGCAGUGGGGAAUAUUGGACAAUGGGCGCAAGCCUGAUCCAGCCACGCCGCGUGAGUGAUGAAGGCCUUCGGGUCGUAAAGCUCCGUGGGGAGGGACGAACGUCCCCGUGAAGAACGGGGGGUGACGGUACCUCCUUAGCAAGCACCGGCUAACUUCGUGCCAGCAGCCGCGGUAAUACGAAGGGUGCAAACGUUGCUCGGAAUCAUUGGGCGUAAAGCGCACGUAGGCGGCGCUCUAAGUCGGAUGUGAAAUCCCUCGGCUCAACCGAGGACGUGCAU
rnacentral:rRNA from 1 species